UCUGUCCUUUCGUCUCUAUGGCCCGAGGGUGGGAGGUCUUCCGGGAACGUUCCGAGCAUUUGUCUGGCCUGAGUCUUUUGACCCUCCGGCCUUACGAGGUUCCAGUUUUUCCCUUCCACACGGAAGAGAUUAUCAUCAGUGGUAAACUGAAGCACAGAGAAGUCAAGCCACUUGCCUGAAGUCACACAGUUGGCAAAUACUGAGUCUGGGAUUCAGGCAUAAACCGUUAAGGACUGGAGAACGGGAGAGGAGACAAGAGUGAGAGCAUUUUGGAGAGCAGAAAGCAGAUGGGUUAAUCGGCAGAACUGAGAAAACCCAAUCCUCCGGCAGCAGAGGGGAAAGUCAAAGCCAACCUGAUUUAUCCCCCAAAAUCCCUCCCAAAGGCUCGGGAAUUGGUGGUACCAAUUCCUGAAAGUAAAAUUGGGGAUAGGAGUGGGCAGCAGAGAGGAGGAUGUGAAAUAAAGGAAAUUCCCUAAAAGUCUGUUUGAGGAGCAGUCAGAUUUGCAGAUCCUCCCAGCCCCCGCCCGACUCUAGGUAACUGGCCACCUACCUCUGCAAAAGUCUGCAGGUUUAUUCUUUGGAGACAGUAACACAGAGUAUCUGGGCUUGGGGACCCCAGCAUGUUUUCAGGCAGAGGUACUAUAUUGAAAACAGGAGGAUUAAGUGAAAUCUUGUGUUUAGUUCCCCGGGACUGCUGUAACAAAUUACCACAAACUGUGUGGCUUCAAACAAUAGAAGCGUAUUCUUUCAUAGUUCUGGAGGCCAGAAGGCUGAAAUCAAAAUGUCAGCAGGGCCAUCCUCCUUCCGGAGGCUCUGGGAGAGAAUCCAUCCCUUGUCUCUUCCAGCUUUUGGUGUCUGUCGGCAUUCCUUGGCUUGUGGACAUAUCUCUUUCUGCUCUGUUUUCACAUUGUCUUCUCCUCCACGCUUCUCAUCUCCCACUGCCUCUCUCUUAUAAGGACACUUUUGAUGGUACUUAGGGCCCACCUGAAUAAUCCAGAACUAUCUCCUCAUCUCAAGAGCCUUAACUUAAUCACAGCUACAAAGAACCUUUUUCACAAAUGAGAUACCAUUCACAGGUUCCAGGAAUUUAACAUGGAUAUACUUUUGGGGGCUGUUUUGGGGCCUGCACGCUGAGAUAUCCUAUUCCAGUCCUUUGCCACAUCUGCAGGGCUGGCCCCAUUGCUCACAUCCAGAGGCCAGGCAAAUUGUAUGUAGUGGUCUUUCCCAGGCCAUUCCAUUCCAGGUAGGAGACUGGAAGAAUCUUCUCCAGAAAAUCUGGCUAGACUCAGAGGAAUCACCUAAAGAUAUUUUAACAUCAGGGGGGUUCCCAACUGACACUGACAGUUCAGUGUCAACAGCCCACUUCCCAAUAUAUACAAUGAUCAGCUUCUUGGUCCCCUACUCUUAAAUAUGAGCAGAAAAUCAAGAAAUAUCAGACAUCUGAGCGUACCCUCUUAAAUGAAAAAUCGAGAACAAAGCAAAUAGAGAAAAGUAACUAAAGAAAACAGACAAUGCAGGAAGGAAAAAAAAACUAAAAAAAAAUCAAAAACAACUUUUCAGAGAGUUACCCUGAAGCAAGAACAAGAUGCUAUUAAAAAUAGGAAUAUUUUGAGAACAAAGAGGGCUUCUUGGAAAUUAAAAGCAGAGAUAUUAAAAAUUUAAUAAAAGAGAUGGAAGAUAAAUGUGAGAGUUUGUCUCAGAAAGUAGGACAAAAAGACAAAGAUAGAAAAUAGGAGAGAAAAGAUACAUUGUUUCAGGGACCGGUCUAAAAAAUCCCACAUUUGAAAAAUAGGCAUUUUAUCGAGAAAGAAGAGAAACAGGGUGGGGUGGGGGAAUCAUCAAUAAAAUAAUUCACAAAAAUUCUCCAAAACUAAAGGACAUGUGUUUCCAGAUUGAAAGUGUUUACUGAGUGCCCAGCAUGCUGGAGAAAAAUAGGUCCAUAGCAAGGCACAUCAUUGUGAAAUUUUGAAAUACCAAGAACUAAUUUGUGAAGAGAAGGAGAAAUAGGUCACUUCAAAGUAUCAAGAGCAGAAUAACUUUGGACUUCUCCACCAAAAUUCAGACAUAAGAAGGUAGUGGAUUAAUGCCUUCAAAAUUCUGAGGGAAAAUGAUUUCCAACAUAGAAUUCUAUACCCAGCCAAACAAUCAUCAAGGGAGCAGAUAGAAUAAAACCAUUUUCAGAUAUGGGAAGUUGAAAAUUUUCUACUUCCCACACACCCUUUCUCAGGGACUUACUGGAGGCUGAACUUUUUGGCUACACCAAAAAGGGUGUGUGUUUGUGGUGAGACAAGGAAGAACAAGACACAGGAAACAGAAACACAGCACAGGGGAGAAGCAGGUGGAAUCCCCAGAUGAUGGUGAACGGACAUCCUAGGAUGACAGCUGUGCACCAGAGUCGGUAACAGGUUAGAUUCCAGCAGGUCUGAAGACUCCAGGGAGAUUUCUUUAAGAAGGUGAACACAUAGAGUUUCUGAGGCAUUAGAAGGAGUUGAGAGGAUACUUGCACCACUGGCAAAGAGUUUGGAGUUGAUAACAAAUACUGAGAAAAUUAGGUCAGCUUGGGUGGGGUCAGAGAACAAGACAAUAAUCAACUUUAAAAAAAAAACAAAAGUGGGACUCCCCUGGUGGCACAGUGGUUAAGAAUCUGCCUGCCAAUGCAGGGGACACGGGUUCGAGCCCUGGUCCGGGAAGAUCCCACAUGUCAUGGAGCAACUAAGCCCAGGUGCCACAACUACUGAGCCUGCGCUCUAGAGCCCGUGCUCCACAAGUGAAGCCACCGCAAUGAGAAGCCCACACACUGCAACGAAGAGUAGCCCACACUCACCGCAACUGGAGAAAGCCUGCGUGCAGCAGCAAAGACCCAAUGCAGCAAAAAACAAAAUAAAUAAAUAAACUAAAAAAACAAAACCAAACAAACAAUAUAAAAAACAAAAACGCUGUGGGGAAAAGCAAAAGGACAUCAUAGUUUACCAUGGUGCUCAGUGGUGAAUGUCACAAUUAUGUAAUUAGUAAAUAUUGAUCUCACCAAAAUUACCAUAUACCUAUCAUGAGAGGAUGGGGGAGUGGGAAGGGCAUAUACAUAUGUGCUGGGGCCAAGUGUAGGGAAGGAAAGAGAGCAGAACCCUCAGAUCCUAGAGAGGGAAAGCAGUUCUGAAAACUGAAAAAUUUAGAAGUGGCAAUCAAUAGAAGCAUGUUAUUUAGAGACAUGGAAUUAAAUAUAAAAAAUUUAGCUUAAAGUAGUUGAAGUCAUUGCCUUUGGGGAGGGGGAAAUGGGAGGAAGAAGUGAAGUGGGGACUUCUGCUUUUAGAAUAUUUGACUUUUCAAUUCAUGUAUAACCUUGAUAAAAUAAAAUCUAAAACCAAAAAAUAAAAAAGGACAGGCAUACCAGAUAUUAAAAUGUUGUUUUGAUAAUGGCUGUCUCUGCAUUGUGGACCAUGGAUAAUUUCCCCCCUUUUUCUUACUUGUCAUUAUUUUAAUAAUUUUUGUCUGCAAAUAACAUAUGGCAUGAAGUGAGAAAAAAAAUAUUUUUUAAAGGGAGAAAGAAAAAAAGAUCUGCCCAGAGGCAGCCUGGAAACCAGUGUUUCCAUCUGUCACCAGGUCUCAAAGUGAGGAGAGUGAAAAGGAUACAAAGGUGAUGCGGGGUGGGCAGGGAAGGAAGAAUUGACAGAGCUUGGUGACUCACAGAAUAGGGAGGUGAGGCAGUGUCACAGAGAGAAAUAUCAAAAUAACCAUGGCCUUGACUUCCUGUUUUUAAAUAAAUAUGACAAGCUGGCAUAUUUCUAGUUUGUGAAAGAUGACUGAAUGUUCCUAGUCACAGCACGGUGUCAAAGGGUGUUACUUACGAAUACAUUUUAUGCUUCUACUUUUACUCACCUGCUAUUUACUUUACAUAGCAGUCCAAGUGAUCCUGUUUAAGCAUUCAUCAGAUCACAUUACUCUUUUGCUCAAAACCAUCCCAUGGCCCCUCAUUUUACUGUGAACAAAACCCAAAGUCCUCUUAGUUAUCUAUAGUGCCCAGUUUGGUCUGCCUCUUGCCCCUGCAGCGGUCUCUGACCUUCUCUUGUACCUUUUCCUCUGCACCCCAACUCAGUGGGCUUCAACUCAUUGAAUGUGGCAAGCUCAUCCCCAGCUCAGCACCUUGCACAGGCUGAUCCUUCAUUUCCCUUCCUCUAGAUAUUUAUAUAGUACCUCCUAGUCAUAAUUCAGGUUCCAUCACAAAUGUCACUUCCUCAGAGGGGCCUUCAGGAACCACUCUGCCUGCUUACCCCAGCCAGCUACUAUCUCUUGCAACAUUUUACUUUCUUGUCUUCAAUGCACAUAUCACCAUGUGAAAUUAUCCUGGUUUUCUCUUUUUAAAAUGUUUUAAAAUUAUUGUUGAGAUAUAAUUCAUUUAACAUAAAAUUCAGCAUUCAAAAGCAUACAAUUCAAUGGCUUUUAAUCUAUUUAUUAUGUUGUACAACCAUCACCACUGUCUGAUUCCCAAACGUUUCCAUCACCCCAACAAGAAACCCUGUACCUGUUAGCAGUCACUCUCCCCUGCCCCCAUCCCUGGCAGUAGAAACCAACCUACUUUCUGUCUCUAUGGAUUAACUAUUCUGAACAUUUCAUAUAAAUAGAAUCAUAUACGUGGCCUUUUUGUGUCUGCCUUCUUUCACUUAUCAUAAUAUUCUGUUUCUUAUAAAAAUUUGCUUCCUUAUUAUCUAUCAUCCCCUUUAGACCCUCAGAAGCUCUAAUACCUAGAAUAGUGCCAGUAUACGUCAUUAAAUAUGGAUUAAGCACCUAUUAGGUGUUAUGCACACAGUAGCACAAAAAAUCCUCUCCAAGGAAACUCUCUCUAAUCUUUAUUUUUUCCUAAGUAGUCUUCAAGUCUUCCCUCAUGCAUCCCCAAGGAGGGUGAUGGGCCAAGACUUAGUAAGCUGGUUUGGGGAAGUCUCCCCAUUCUUGGCCCAGCAGACACGAUCCAGCUCUCUCCAGAAAGGGACACCUCACACCAGCACAGAGGCCCCAACCAAGACUGAAACAAAAGAUAAGUCCCAACUGAGCACCAGUUACUAAGGGGUUUCCCUGUCCCUUUGGUUCUUAUUCAAGACAAAUCUGUGUGACAGUUAAGAUAGUCACCUUAAAUAAAAAGUGGAAGGGACCAUGGGACAAGGAAUACGGGAAGCAUCUAACUGCACAGAGAAUAGCCUCCAUGACCAAAAAGCAAGGAAAUCAGGACCUCAGUCCUACAACCACAAGGAACUGAAUUCUGCCAACAACCUAAAUGAGCCUGGAAGUGGAUUCUUCCCAGAGCCUCCAGAUAAGGAUUUAGACAGGCUGCUGUCUAGACUUCAGCCUGUGAGACCCUGAGCAUGGAACACAGCAGAGCCUGCAUGGACUUAGGACCUAAGAACUCUGAGCUGGAUGUAGUUUAAAAGACGAAAAAGGGCUUCCCUGGUGGCACAGUGGUUGAGAGUCCACCUGCCGAUGCAGGGGACACGGGUUCGUGCCCUGGUCCGGGAAGAUCCCACAUGCCGCAGAGCGGCUGCGCCCAUGAGCCAUGGCCGCUGAGCCUGUGCGUCUGGAGCCUGUGCUCUGCAACGGGAGAGGCCACAACAGUGAGAGGCCCGUGUACCGCAAAAAAAAAAAAAAAAAAAAGAUAUUC